rnacentral:rRNA from 1 species
UACAGAGGGUGCAAGCGUUGUUCGGAAUCAUUGGGCGUAAAGCGCACGUAGGCGGCCCGAUAAGUCGGAUGUGAAAUCCCUCGGCUCAACCGAGGACGUGCAUUCGAAACUGUCGGGCUCGAGUAUGGAAGAGGGUCGCGGAAUUCCCGGUGUAGAGGUGAAAUUCGUAGAUAUCGGGAGGAACACCAGUGGCGAAGGCGGCGACCUGGGCCAAUACUGACGCUGAGGUGCGAAAGCGUGGGGAGCAAACAGG